UACAGAGGUCUCAAGCGUUGUUCGGAUUCAUUGGGCGUAAAGGGUGCGUAGGCGGCGCGGUAAGUCGGGUGUGAAAAUCUCGGAGCUUAACUCCGAAACUGCAUUCGAUACUGCCGUGCUUGAGGACUGGAGAGGAGACUGGAAUUUACGGUGUAGCGGUGAAAUGCGUAGAUAUCGUAAGGAAGACCAGUGGCGAAGGCGGGUCUCUGGACAGUUCCUGACGCUGAGGCACGAAGGCCCAGGGGGAGC
rnacentral:rRNA from 1 species